rnacentral:tRNA from 1 species
GAGGGUUUAGCUCAGUGGUAGAGCAUGUGUUUAGCAUGUACAAGGUCCUGAGUUCAGUCCCCAGUACCUCCU